GGCCCGCGGCCUAUCAGCUUGUUGGUGAGGUAAUGGCUCACCAAGGCGACGACGGGUAGCCGGCCUGAGAGGGCGACCGGCCACACUGGGACUGAGACACGGCCCAGACUCCUACGGGAGGCAGCAGUGGGGAAUAUUGCACAAUGGGCGAAAGCCUGAUGCAGCGACGCCGCGUGAGGGAUGACGGCCUUCGGGUUGUAAACCUCUUUCAGCAGGGAAGAAGCGAAAGUGACGGUACCUGCAGAAGAAGCACCGGCUAACUACGUGCCAGCAGCCGCGGUAAUACGUAGGGUGCGAGCGUUGUCCGGAAUUAUUGGGCGUAAAGAGCUUGUAGGCGGUUUGUCGCGUCUGCAGUGAAAAUCCGGGGCUCAACCCCGGACUUGCUGUGGGUACGGGCAGACUAGAGUGUGGUAGGGGAGACCGGAAUUCCUGGUGUAGCGGUGGAAUGCGCAGAUAUCAGGAGGAACACCGAUGGCGAAGGCAGGUCUCUG
rnacentral:rRNA from 1 species